rnacentral:tRNA from 1 species
GGGCGCGUAGCUCAGCGGGAGAGCACCACCUUGACACGGUGGGGGUCACAGGUUCAAUCCCUGUCGCGCCCA